UUAGUGGAACGGUCUGGAAAGUCCGACGGUACAGGGUGAUAGUCCCGUACACCAAAAUGCACAGGCUGUGAACUCGAAGAGUAGGGCGGGACACGUGGUAUCCUGUCUGAAUAUGGGGGGACCAUCCUCCAAGGCUAAAUACUCCUGACUGACCGAUAGUGAACCAGUACCGUGAGGGAAAGGCGAAAAGAACCCCGGCGAGGGGAGUGAAAAAGAACCUGAAACCGUGUACGUACAAGCAGUGGGAGCACCUUCGGGUGUGACUGCGUACCUUUUGUAUAAUGGGUCAGCGACUUAUAUUCUGUAGCAAGGUUAACCGUAUAGGGGAGCCGCAGGGAAACCGAGUCUUAACUGGGCGUUAAGUUGCAGGGUAUAGACCCGAAACCCGGUGAUCUAGCCAUGGGCAGGUUGAAGGUUGGGUAACACUAACUGGAGGACCGAACCGACUAAUGUUGAAAAAUUAGCGGAUGACUUGUGGCUGGGGGUGAAAGGCCAAUCAAACCGGGAGAUAGCUGGUUCUCCCCGAAAGCUAUUUAGGUAGCGCCUCGUGAAUUCAUCUUCGGGGGUAGAGCACUGUUUCGGCUAGGGGGUCAUCCCGACUUACCAACCCGAUGCAAACUACGAAUACCGAAGAAUGUUAUCACGGGAGACACACGGCGGGUGCUAACGUCCGUCGUGAAGAGGGAAACAACCCAGACCGCCAGCUAAGGUCCCAAAGUCAUGGUUAAGUGGGAAACGAUGUGGGAAGGCACAGACAGCCAGGAUGUUGGCUUAGAAGCAGCCAUCAUUUAAAGAAAGCGUAAUAGCUCACUGGUCGAGUCGGCCUGCGCGGAAGAUGUAACGGGGCUAAACCAUGCACCGAAGCUGCGGCAGCGACACUAUGUGUUGUUGGGUAGGGGAGCGUUCUGUAAGCCUGCGAAGGUGACCUGUGAGGGUUGCUGGAGGUAUCAGAAGUGCGAAUGCUGACAUAAGUAACGAUAAAGCGGGUGAAAAGCCCGCUCGCCGGAAGACCAAGGGUUCCUGUCCAACGUUAAUCGGGGCAGGGUGAGUCGACCCCUAAGGCGAGGCCGAAAGGCGUAGUCGAUGGGAAACAGGUUAAUAUUCCUGUACUUGGUGUUACUGCGAAGGGGGGACGGAGAAGGCUAUGUUAGCCGGGCGACGGUUGUCCCGGUUUAAGCAUGUAGGCUGGUUGUCCAGGCAAAUCCGGAUAAUCAAGGCUGAGGUGUGAUGACGAGGCACUACGGUGCUGAAGUAACAAAUGCCCUGCUUCCAGGAAAAGCCUCUAAGCAUCAGGUAACAUCAAAUCGUACCCCAAACCGACACAGGUGGUCAGGUAGAGAAUACCAAGGCGCUUGAGAGAACUCGGGUGAAGGAACUAGGCAAAAUGGUGCCGUAACUUCGGGAGAAGGCACGCUGGUGUGUAGGUGAAGUCCCUGCGGAUGGAGCUGAGACCAGUCGAAGAUACCAGCUGGCUGCAACUGUUUAUUAAAAACACAGCACUGUGCAAACACGAAAGUGGACGUAUACGGUGUGACGCCUGCCCGGUGCCGGAAGGUUAAUUGAUGGGGUUAUCCGUAAGGAGAAGCUCUUGAUCGAAGCCCCGGUAAACGGCGGCCGUAACUAUAACGGUCCUAAGGUAGCGAAAUUCCUUGUCGGGUAAGUUCCGACCUGCACGAAUGGCGUAAUGAUGGCCAGGCUGUCUCCACCCGAGACUCAGUGAAAUUGAACUCGCUGUGAAGAUGCAGUGUACCCGCGGCAAGACGGAAAGACCCCGUGAACCUUUACUAUAGCUUGACACUGAACAUUGAGCCUUGAUGUGUAGGAUAGGUGGGAGGCUUUGAAGCGUGGACGCCAGUCUGCGUGGAGCCAACCUUGAAAUACCACCCUUUAAUGUUUGAUGUUCUAACGUUGGCCCCUGACCGGGGUUGCGGACAGUGUCUGGUGGGUAGUUUGACUGGGGCGGUCUCCUCCCAAAGCGUAACGGAGGAGCACGAAGGUUAGCUAAUCCUGGUCGGACAUCAGGAGGUUAGUGCAAUGGCAUAAGCUAGCUUGACUGCGAGCGUGACGGCGCGAGCAGGUGCGAAAGCAGGUCAUAGUGAUCCGGUGGUUCUGAAUGGAAGGGCCAUCGCUCAACGGAUAAAAGGUACUCCGGGGAUAACAGGCUGAUACCGCCCAAGAGUUCAUAUCGACGGCGGUGUUUGGCACCUCGAUGUCGGCUCAUCACAUCCUGGGGCUGAAGUAGGUCCCAAGGGUAUGGCUGUUCGCCAUUUAAAGUGGUACGCGAGCUGGGUUUAGAACGUCGUGAGACAGUUCGGUCCCUAUCUGCCGUGGGCGCUGGAGAAUUGAGGGGGGCUGCUCCUAGUACGAGAGGACCGGAGUGGACGCAUCACUGGUGUUCGGGUUGUCAUGCCAAUGGCACUGCCCGGUAGCUAAAUGCGGAAGAGAUAAGUGCUGAAAGCAUCUAAGCACGAAACUUGCCCCGAGAUGAGUUCUCCCUGAGACUUUAAGUCUCCUGAAGGAACGUU
rnacentral:rRNA from 1 species